CAUAUCAAUAAGCGGAGGAAAAGAAACUAACAAGGAUUCCCCUAGUAACUGCGAGUGAAGCGGGAAAAGCUCAAAUUUAAAAUCUGGCAGCCUCUGGCUGUCCGAGUUGUAAUCUAGAGAAGCGUUAUCCGCGCUGGACCGUGUACAAGUCUCCUGGAAUGGAGCGUCAUAGAGGGUGAGAAUCCCGUCUUUGACACGGACUGCCAGGGCUUUGUGAUGCGCUCUCAAAGAGUCGAGUUGUUUGGGAAUGCAGCUCAAAAUGGGUGGUAAAUUCCAUCUAAAGCUAAAUAUUGGCGAGAGACCGAUAGCGAACAAGUACCGUGAGGGAAAGAUGAAAAGAACUUUGGAAAGAGAGUUAAACAGUACGUGAAAUUGCUGAAAGGGAAACGCUUGAAGUCAGUCGCGUUGGCCGGGGAUCAACCUUGCUUUUGCUUGGUGUACUUUCUGGUUGACGGGUCAGCAUCAAUUUUGAUCAUUGGAAAAAGAUUAGGGGAAUGUGGCAUCUUCGGAUGUGUUAUAGCCCUUGGUUGUAUACAAUGAUUGGGAUUGAGGAACUCAGCACGCCGCAAGGCCGGGUUUUUAACCACGUACGUGCUUAGGAUGCUGGCAUAAUGGCUUUAAUCGACCCGUCUUGAAACACGGACCAAGGAGUCUAACAUGCCUGCGAGUGUUUGGGUGGAAAACCCGAGCGCGUAAUGAAAGUGAAAGUUGAGAUCCCUGUCGUGGGGAGCAUCGACGCCCGGACCAGAUCUUUUGUGACGGUUCCGCGGUAGAGCAUGUAUGUUGGGACCCGAAAGAUGGUGAACUAUGCCUGAAUAGGGUGAAGCCAGAGGAAACUCUGGUGGAGGCUCGUAGCGAUUCUGACGUGCAAAUCGAUCGUCAAAUUUGGGUAUAGGGGCGAAAGACUAAUCGAACCAUCUAGUAGCUGGGUUCCUG
rnacentral:rRNA from 1 species